rnacentral:rRNA from 1 species
GACAGAGGGUGCGAACGUUGUUCGGAAUUACUGGGCGUAAAGCGCAUGUAGGCGGCAGCGCAAGUCGGGCGUGAAAUCCCACGGCUCAACCGUGGAAGUGCACUCGAAACUGCGCAGCUAGAGUCCUGGAGAGGAAGGUGGAAUGCUUGGUGUAGAGGUGAAAUUCGUAGAUAUCAAGCGGAACACCGGUGGCGGAAGGCGGCCUUACUGGAC